rnacentral:lncRNA from 12 species
AGAAAAAGAAAAAGAAAAAGAAAAAGAAAAAGAAAAAGAAAAAGAAAAAGAAAAAGAAAAAGAAAAAGAAAAAGAAAAAGAAAAAGAAAAAAAAGAAGGUGGGCCAGGCACUAUUCUCAGGGCUGGUGCUGCUGGCAGCAGGCACUAAUCCUAUGGCUGUGGUGCGGGGCAGCAGCAGCAGCACAGCACCCCGAGAAGCCGCAUGCACCACGAGGGAGGUUCAUUUUUGGGAGCUGCCUCCUGGCUGGGCGAGAGCCUGGGGGUGGGGCGGGAGCUGCUCACAGUAGAGAUCAAGUUCAUUUCCCUUUCUACUGCAUCUGCUUCUUUGUGUAGUGUAGCCAGGCUGGACUUCAGCUCCCUAUGCGCAUCUGGCUCCUGGCCAGAGCCCUGCACCUUGGUCACAGAGUCGCUCGUGGACCCGCUGCUGCUGCAGCUGGCUGAGUGCUGCAAGACCUGGCCAUCACCUGGGGGGCUCUCUGGGUCAGGGACGAGGGUCUGUGGGUCAGGGACUGGGCUCUGGGGCUCCGCCCGUGGCACCUCCUGGCAGAGAGCAGGAUAAUCUGGCGCAUCUUGGCACAGCUGCUGCUCCGUUAAACUCUCUGCCCAUGGGGACAGCUCUUGGAUUGCCAGCUCUUCUUCAUAUGGACACAGCUCCUGGCAGUUGUCAUCCCCAUCAUUGUCACACUGGUGCAGCUCCUGCUCUACCUCCACUAUCACCACCUCUUCACAUGGAAACAGCUCUUGGCAUAUGCCACCUUCAUCAUUGUCACAUUGGUGCAGCUCCUGCUCUACCUCCACUGUCACCACCUCUUCACAUGGACACAGCUCUUGGCAUAUGCCACCUUCAUCAUUGUCACAUUGGUGCAGCUCCUGCUCUACCUCCACUAUCACCACCUCUUCACAUGGAAACAGCUCUUGGCAUAUGCCACCUUCAUCAUUGUCACAUUGGUGCAGCUCCUGCUCUACCUCCACUAUCACCACCUCUUCACAUGGAAACAGCUCUUGGCAUAUGCCACCUUCAUCAUUGUCACAUUGGUGCAGCUCCUGCUCUACCUCCACUAUCACCACCUCUUCACAUGGAAACAGCUCUUGGCAUAUGCCACCUUCAUCAUUGUCACAUUGGUGCAGCUCCUGCUCUACCUCCACUAUCACCACCUCUUCACAUGGAAACAGCUCUUGGCAUAUGCCACCUUCAUCAUUGUCACAUUGGUGCAGCUCCUGCUCUACCUCCACUAUCACCACCUCUUCACAUGGAAACAGCUCUUGGCAUAUGCCACCUUCAUCAUUGUCACAUUGGUGCAGCUCCUGCUCUACCACCACUGUCACCUCCUCUUCACAUGGACACAGCUCUUGGCAUAUGCCACCUUCAUCAUUGUCACAUUGGUGCAGCUCUUGCUCUACCACCACUGUCACCUCCUCUUCACAUGGACACAGCUCUUGGCAUAUGCCACCUUCAUCAUUGUCACAUUGGUGCAGCUCUUGCUCUACCACCACUGUCACCUCCUCUUCACAUGGACACAGCUCUUGGCAUAUGCCACCUUCAUCAUUGUCACAUUGGUGCAGCUCUUGCUCUACCACCACUGUCACCUCCUCUUCACAUGGACACAGCUCUUGGCAUAUGCCACCUUCAUCAUUGUCACAUUGGUGCAGCUCCUGCUCUACCUCCACUGUCACCUCCUCCUCCCAUGGACACAGCUCUUGGCAUCUGUCAUCUCCAUCAUCACACUGGUACAGCUCCUGCUCUACCGGCACUGUCACCUCGUCCUCCCAUGGGCACAAGUGUUGGCAUCCAUCCUCAUCGUCGUCCCAGUUGUACGGCUCUGUCACUGUCACGCACUCUCCCCACUGGUCCAGCUCUUGCCAGCCAUGCAGCUCAUUGUGUGUCACAGCUCCCCAGGGGCAGCCUUCCUGGGAAGUUACUUCAUCCCAUCGAAGAAAUUCUUCUGGCAUCAUUUCUUCCCAGAGGCAAAGCUCUCUGCCAUAUGGGCCACAGACGUCUUCCCAUGGGGAAAGCCCUUCGUCCACAGCACAUUCCCACUCCAUGGUGAAAAAGGCUCCCUCCUCCUAAGUCUGACAGAGAGACGACUGAGCUACACCCUGCUCCCAGCCACUGUUCGCUGAGGUCUUGCAGCCAGCUGGGCAAGAGGCUGGGCGGCUGGGAGUUGGGGUUUGCCUCGUCCUCCGCUGUGUCUGAUGUGCUCUGCCACAGAUACGUCCUGGGACACAGCCACUGUCCUGGCACUGGCCAGCCCAGGGCCCUGCAGUGGCCCUUAAAUCCCCUCAGCCAGGGCGGGGCUCUGGGAUGUCACAGGGGACUUUGUGCGUCACAAUGUCUCUGUCACCAAGGGCGCAGGCCACCCUGGCACAAGGUGCCCGUGUCACCGAGGGCCAGCCUGCCACCCUUCAGCAGCCAAAGGCUCCAGGGGUGGCUGGAGCAGCCCCUCGGGGCCCUGGGGGCUGCAGCCCCUUGCUGUGAGCCCUCACUGAAAUGAUCAGAACGGCUGUGACCCAGGGAAGGGACAAAGGACACCAUGGGGCAAAGCCAGGUGUGGGGGUUUAUUGAACUGCUCAUGCCAAAGCCAAGGAGAGAAAGAGAGAAAGAGAGAAAGAGAGAAAGAGAGAAAGAGAGAAAGAGAGAAAGAGACAAAGAGACAAAGAGACAAAGAGACAAAGGGGAAAGAAUGGACGAAACAAUUAAUGAAAAAAACGAAAGAAACGAAGAAAGAAAGAAAAGGUAAUUGGUGGGCGGAGAGAAAGAGAGACAGAGACAGAUUAGGAGGAUGUCUUGCGUUGCAAUACAGGAUGUGGCCAGCAAUGUGAAUUCUGUCCCAUCUGCUGCAGUGGGUGGGGCAGUGCCCCUGAUCUCCUGGCACACAUUAUCUGCUCAUGGGCCAGCUUUAAACCAGCUGGGCAAUCAUCUUUAUCUUCCCACAGCCCAUCCUCCCUCCAGGAGAUAUCUCCUGUUCAUGGCCACUGAGUCCCAGGGCAUGGCUGAUAAAAUUACAUCAUCCCAUGGGAGAUGCUCCAGCCAGGGGAGGAGCCAAGCCUUUCCUACCCAGAUAAAACCUGAGAUUUGGGACACCAAGGUACCUUCUUUCCACUGCAUUCCAGAGGAAAACCAGACCUUUGCACACC